AACCAUAGAAACCUGCGGAGUACCUGCGGAAGGAUCAUUACAGAGUUGCAAAACUCCCUAAACCAUCGUGAACGUUACCUAAACCGUUGCUUCGGCGGGCGGCCCGGGUCCUUCCCGGCGCCCAUCGGCCCUCGCGGGCGCCCGCCGGAGGUAAACCAAACUAUUGCAUUGUAUGGCCUCUCUGAGUCUUCUGUACUGAAUAAGUCAAAACUUUUAACAAUGGAUCUCAGAUCGGAAGAG
rnacentral:misc_RNA from 1 species